UACAAUGACCGGGACAAAGGGUCAUGACUCUGCGAGGGAAAGCUAACCUCAAAAACCCGGCCUCAGUUCAGAUUGCAGUCUACAACUCGCCUACAUGAAGCCGUAAUCUCUAGUAAUCGUCGGUCAGCCAUACGGCGGUGAAUCCAUUCCCGAGCCUUGUACACACCACCCAUCACACUAUGGGAGUUGGCCAUGCCCCAAGUCAUUACCUUAACCGCAAGGAGGGGGAUGCCGAAGGCUGGGCUAGUGACUAGAGUGAAUUCGUAACAAGGUAGCCGUACUGGAAGGUGCGGCUGGAUCACCUCCUUU
rnacentral:ncRNA from 1 species